rnacentral:rRNA from 1 species
GACGAACGCUGGCGGCGUGCCUAAUACAUGCAAGUAGAACGCUGAAGCUUGGUGCUUGCACCGAGCGGAUGAGUUGCGAACGGGUGAGUAACGCGUAGGUAACCUGCCUCUUAGCGGGGGAUAACUAUUGGAAACGAUAGCUAAUACCGCAUAAAAGUUGACAUUGCAUGAUGUUGAUUUGAAAGAUGCAAUUGCAUCACUAAGAGAUGGACCUGCGUUGUAUUAGCUAGUUGGUGAAGUAACGGCUCACCAAGGCGACGAUACAUAGCCGACCUGAGAGGGUGAUCGGCCACACUGGGACUGAGACACGGCCCAGACUCCUACGGGAGGCAGCAGUAGGGAAUCUUCGGCAAUGGGGGCAACCCUGACCGAGCAACGCCGCGUGAGUGAAGAAGGUUUUCGGAUCGUAAAGCUCUGUUGUAAGAGAAGAACGAGUGUGAGAGUGGAAAGUUCACACUGUGACGGUAACUUACCAGAAAGGGACGGCUAACUACGUGCCAGCAGCCGCGGUAAUACGUAGGUCCCGAGCGUUAUCCGGAUUUAUUGGGCGUAAAGCGAGCGCAGGCGGUUAGAUAAGUCUGAAGUUAAAGGCUGUGGCUUAACCAUAGUACGCUUUGGAAACUGUUUAACUUGAGUGCAGAAGGGGAGAGUGGAAUUCCAUGUGUAGCGGUGAAAUGCGUAGAUAUAUGGAGGAACACCGGUGGCGAAAGCGGCUCUCUGGUCUGUAACUGACGCUGAGGCUCGAAAGCGUGGGGAGCAAACAGG